UUUCCGUAGGUGAACCUGCGGAAGGAUCAUUGACAAGUCCCUAUAUUAUUUUGCGAACAUGUUACCUUUGAAUAUCCAUGAAUUGACCCUUUAUUGGUCUUUUCAUGUUAGCCGACUUUUACUCUCUUUUUGAGUGAUGGGGUGCUAUAACAAACCCUUCGGCACGGUCCGUGCCAAGGAUUUUAAGGAUGUCAUCGUGGUUGCCACUUUAUGUGCCCCACGAUGACUAUUUAUAUCAUUCAUUGAUAAUUUGAUGACUCUCGGCAACGGAUAUCUUGGUCCUCGCAUCGAUGAAGAACGUAGCGAAAUGCGAUACUUGGUGUGAAUUGCAGAAUCCCGUGAACCAUCGAGUUUUUGAACGCAAGUUGCGCCCAAAGCUUUCGGGCCGAGGGCUAGCCUGCGUGGGCGUCAUGUAAUGUUGCUCACACUCUCAUCGAGUCAGCUAUUCGUUGGCCGAUUGUUUGGUGACAGCGUAAAUUGACCUUCCAUUCUUGUUAAAGGAAUGGUGGGUUUAAGUUAAAGGCAUUCUAUCAAAUGCAAGCUAUAACGGUUGAAGUCUCAUAGAAUAGGGCUAUCUCGUCCACUAUGUGCCUACUUGUUAUUCUUGUCUUUGUUGAUCCUUCCUUGUCCAUUGAUUAUUAUGUUUGUACUACGUUCUUUGUACGCGAACAUUUUAACUUGGCUCAUAUUGCGACCCCACGUCAGGCUGGAACACCCGCUGAGUUUAA
rnacentral:rRNA from 1 species